GGAGUCUGUGGCGAGGCUCUGUAAACCGGCGACUCGGUAGCUUGGACUAGAGGAUGGCUUGAGGUAGGGAGUACUGCUGCGGGAUCACCCAUGUUGAUUGGGUGUCCGCACUAAGCUUGGCAUCAAUAUGGCCACCCUUGGGGAGCUAAGGGCGUCCAGGUUGACUAAGGAGGUGUGAACCGGGCCAGGGGGGAAACCCAGCAGCCAAAAGCACCCGUGUCGAGCAGUAGUGGGAUCACGCCCGAGAGUGUGUGGCUCGUAGUAGCCUUACCAACACAGGCAAACUUAGCCUU
rfam:Trichinella zimbabwensis scaffold6059s, whole genome shotgun sequence.